rnacentral:rRNA from 1 species
AUUGAACGCUGGCGGCAUGCUUUACACAUGCAAGUCGAACGGCAACGAGGAGAAGCUUGCUUCCCUGUCGGCGAGUGGCGAACGGGUGAGUAUAGCAUCGGAACGUGCCAAGUAGUGGGGGAUAACCAAACGAAAGUUUGGCUAAUACCGCGUAAGCUCCAAGGAGGAAAGUAGGGGACCUAAAUAAGGCCUUACGCUAUUUGAUCGGCCGAUGUCGGAUUAGCUAGUUGGUGGGGUAAUGGCUCACCAAGGCAAUGAUCCGUAGCGGGUCUGAGAGGACGAUCCGCCACACUGGGACUGAGACACGGCCCAGACUCCUACGGGAGGCAGCAGUGGGGAAUUUUGGACAAUGGGGGAAACCCUGAUCCAGCCAUGCCGCGUGUAUGAAGAAGGCCUUAGGGUUGUAAAGUACUUUUGUUAGGGAAGAAAAGCUAGUUUUUAAUAAAAAUUAGUGAUGACGGUACCUAAAGAAUAAGCACCGGCUAACUACGUG